GCCAACUAAAACGGCAAAUAACGGGCAUUCGGUAACCGCGUAAACUCAAAAUGGCGCUACAAAUCUACUCUCCAUCCUGUCUCACCAAAAAAUCCUAUCAGCAUCUUCUCUACGCUCCUGUCCUCCUCUCCAAAACCAAACCCAAACUCAGAAUUCAAUCCCAAAAUCCCACUACCGACACCGAAAACACCAAGGACUCAGCCACACUCAAGAAAUCAACCGCGCGUGGGCUAGGGUUUGGGUCAUCAUCUCCUGCAGCUUCAACCAAAAACCCAAAUAAGGCAAGUGCUAGUGAUGUGACUAGUAAGAAGAAACAGAAGGGUAAAAGAGAAAGGGCAUCGAUAAUUAGGCGGACACCGGUUGAGAAGCCAUCAUUUGUAAGCCAAGUGGAUGAGACUAAAGCGAAGGAGCAGAGUAAGAAUGAGAGUGCCUUUCUUCUUGCUUGGUUGGGGCUUGGUGGGAUCAUUCUUGUAGAGGGUAUUGUGCUCGCUGCAUCAGGCUUCCUACCUGAAGAAUGGGAUAAAUUUUUUGUGAAGUAUUUGUAUCCAUCUUUCACCCCUACAGUCUUCUUGUUUGUUGCUGGGACUGUUGCAUAUGGGGUGUUGAAGUAUCUGCAGAAUGAGAAACUUAAAGACCAAAAUUGAUGUGGCAACGCGUGGGCAGAGACAAUUGUGGAUUGGGUGGAUAUAGCAGUGUUGGCAGUUAACAAGUUUGCUAUAGUUUCUGAACGCCAUAAUACUCUUGCUUUUAUACCAUUCAUCUCCACAAGUACUUAAGUUCAGAUUUAGUUAAUUCCUUGGUUGAAGUUUUACCAUUAAUAACGAAAGGCUGAUAUGUUUUAAGUCCAUCUUGCAAUUAAAACAUCAUCUGUUUGCAGACUGAGAAGUUGUGAAAGGUUAAUUUGAUCCUCUACUGAAGCUGAUCUCAUGGAACCUUAAUACUUUUGUGGCAGUGGUGCCGUACAUUGAAACAUUAAAUGAAGCGGUUCAUUCUUCUUCAUAUUGACUGCAAAUUACUAGGGUCAGAUUUCAAGAAAAGUAAUCAUUUAAUAGAUAAUGUCUAGACGGUUGUUUAGUUAUUGCUAUUUCUCACUUCAGUAUUAAUGUAUUAUUUCUUGAAAACAAUGGAGAUGUCUUUCCAUAAAUGGUUAUGUUGCAAUACUAGCUAUUGUAACAAAUAAUCUUGUCCUCAAGAAUUCUAGGAACUUUUGGCGUCAAUUUCCACAUUAAAUCAAACAUUCAUGAGUGCACAUGCAAACAAAAAAAAAGUUGUAGUAAAAAAAUUCACUUUACGAGUACACUUGAGGUAUUUGCCAUUGGGUGUCAACGUUGCGCUUCCCAAUUUGUCCUACAUGUAUAUCUCUUACCUUUUUGAUGUUCAUUAUAUUGAGUCAAGAGUCAAUAACAGGUGAGAAGAUAAAUGAAGAAAGUGUGAAAUGAUAGCUUUGUUCAUUAGCAAUAAUAACUGAGAGUAUACCAGUUUGACAGAAUCCAGGGAAGAUAAAAGCGGAAUUGUAGGCUCCAAAAGGGUGAUGAGAGUUUAUUCGGUUUGAUUUUGCAUAUCUAACGUACCCUGCUAGGUAGUGUUAAGCAUGAAGGCCUUCAUUGAUAUGCACGAUUGUAAGCAUAGGCAUUUGACAUGUACCAUGCAUAGUCACCUCUAAUAUGACAGGAUGAAACUGUUGUUUUCACAUUCUAGUACUAUAUUAUUGUACUGAGUUCAGUUUGUUACAUUGUCUAUCCUCAAAACUCUUAUUAUCGGUUUGGCCACUUUAA